rnacentral:rRNA from 1 species
GAUAAACGCUGGCGGCGUGCCUAAUGCAUGCAAGUCGAACGGUCUCGAUUUAUCGAGACAGUGGCGAACGGGUGAGUAACGCGUAAGUAACCUAUCCCUAAGUUGGGAAUAACCUCGGGAAACCGAGGCUAAUACCGAAUGUGGUGAUUGGGUAGUGCUCAGUCACUAAAGCCGAAAGGCGCUUGGGGAGGGGCUUGCGUCCGAUUAGUUAGUUGGUGGGGUAAUGGUCUACCAAGGCGAUGAUCGGUAGCUGGCUUGAGAGGGUGGUCAGCCACACUGGGACUGAGAUACGGCCCAGACUCCUACGGGAGGCAGCAGCAAGGAAUAUUGGGCAAUGGGCGAAAGCCUGACCCAGCGACGCCGCGUGGGGGAAGAAGGCUUUCGGGUUGUAAACCCCUUUUCUCGGGGAAGAAUAAUGACGGUACCUGAGGAAUAAGCCUUGGCUAACUACGUG